GCUGAACGCUGGCGGCAGGCUUAACACAUGCAAGUCGAGCGGAGAUGAGGUGCUUGCACCUUAUCUUAGCGGCGGACGGGUGAGUAAUGCUUAGGUAUCUGCCUAUUAGUGGGGGACAACAUUCUGAAAGGAAUGCUAAUACCGCAUACGUCCUACGGGAGAAAGCAGGGGAUCUUCGGACCUUGCGCUAAUAGAUGAGCCUAAGUCGGAUUAGCUAGUUGGUGGGGUAAAGGCCUACCAAGGCGACGAUCUGUAGCGGGUCUGAGAGGAUGAUCCGCCACACUGGGACUGAGACACGGCCCAGACGCCUACGGGAGGCAGCAGUGGGGAAUAUUGGACAAUGGGGGGAACCCUGUUCCAGCCAUGCCGCGUGUGUGAAGAAGGCCUUAUGGUUGUAAAGCACUUUAAGCGAGGAGGAGGCUACUGAGACUAAUACUCUUGGAUAGUGGACGUUACUCGCAGAAUAAGCACCGGCUAACUCUGUGCCAGCCGCCGCAGUAACAC
rnacentral:rRNA from 1 species